rfam:Pteropus alecto contig68393, whole genome shotgun sequence.
GUCUACGGCCAUGCCACCCUGAACAAGCCCGAUGUCUGAUCUUAGAAGCUGAGCAGGGUUGGGCUUGGUUAGUACUUGGAUGGGAGCCUACCUAGGAAGACCAGGUGCUAUAGGCA